CAGCCGCCGCGGUAAUACGUAGGGUGCAAGCGUUAAUCGGAAUUACUGGGCGUAAAGCGUGCGCAGGCGGUUUUGUAAGACAGAGGUGAAAUCCCCGGGCUCAACCUGGGAACUGCCUUUGUGACUGCAAGGCUAGAGUACGGCAGAGGGGGAUGGAAUUCCGCGUGUAGCAGUGAAAUGCGUAGAUAUGCGGAGGAACACCGAUGGCGAAGGCAAUCCCCUGGGCCUGUACUGACGCUCAUGCACGAAAGCGUGGGGAGCAAACAGGAUUAGAUACCCCUGUAGUCCCUGUCUCUUAUAA
rnacentral:rRNA from 1 species